GGGAAUGUGGCUUAGUGGUAGAGUGCUUGCCUACCAUGCAUGAAGCCCUGGGUUUGAUUUCCUCAGUACCA
rfam:Dipodomys ordii contig_55388, whole genome shotgun sequence.